AUUGAACGCUGGCGGCACGCCUAACACAUGCAAGUCGAGCGGUAGCAGGACCUGUAGCAAUACAGGUUGCUGACGAGCGGCGGACGGGUGAGUAAUACGUAGGAACUUGCCUUUUAGUGGGGGAUAACUAAGGGAAACUUUAGCUAAUACCGCAUAUUCUUGAGAGAGGAAAGCUGCCGUAAGGUGGCGCUAGAAGAGAGGCCUGCGUCCGAUUAGCUAGUUGGUGAGGUAAGAGCUCACCAAGGCGAUGAUCGGUAACUGGUCUGAGAGGACGACCAGUCACACUGGGACUGAGACACGGCCCAGACUCCUACGGGAGGCAGCAGUGGGGAAUCUUGCGCAAUGGGCGAAAGCCUGACGCAGCAACGCCGCGUGGGGGAUGACGGCCUUCGGGUUGUAAACCUCUUUCGACAUCGACGAAGGGGCCCUGUUGUGGGGUUUUGACGGUAGGUGUAGAAGAAGCACCGGCUAACUACGUGCCAGCCGCCGCGGUAA
rnacentral:rRNA from 1 species